rnacentral:rRNA from 1 species
ACGAACGCUGGCGGCGUGCUUAACACAUGCAAGUCGAACGGAAAGGCCCUGCUUGCAGGGUGCUCGAGUGGCGAACGGGUGAGUAACACGUGGGUGAUCUGCCCCUUACUUUGGGAUAAGCCUGGGAAGCUGGGUCUAAUACUGGAUAGGACCAUGCUGUAGGUGGUGUGGUGGAAAGAUUAGUUUCGGUAAGGGAUGAGCUCGCGGCCUAUCAGCUUGUUGGUGGGGUAAUGGCCUACCAAGGCGUCGACGGGUAGCCGGCCUGAGAGGGUGGACGGCCACAUUGGGACUGAGAUACGGCCCAGACUCCUACGGGAGGCAGCAGUGGGGAAUAUUGCACAAUGGGCGCAAGCCUGAUGCAGCGACGCCGCGUGGGGGAUGACGGCCUUCGGGUUGUAAACUCCUUUCAGCCAUGACGAAGCCCUUGUGGUGACGGUAGUGGUAGAAGAAGCACCGGCUAACUACGUG